rnacentral:rRNA from 1 species
CUACGGGGUGCACCAGUAGGGAAUAUUGCGCAAUGGGCGAAAGCCUGACGCAGCAAUACCGCAUGAGUGAGGAAGGUUUUCGGAUUGUAAAGCUCUGUCAGAAUGGAAAAACGGCAUAUUAUCUAAUAGGUAGUAUGUUUGAUGGUACAUUCAAAGGAGGCACCGGCUAACUUCGUGCCAGCAGCCGCGGUAAUACGAAGGGUGCAAGCGUUAUUCGGAUUUAUUGGGCGUAAAGCGCGCGUAGGCGGAUUGUUAAGUCAGAUGUGAAAUCUCGGGGCUCAACCCCGAAACUGCGUCUGAAACUAAUAAUCUAGAAUCAUGGAGAGGGAAGGGGAAUUUCGCAUGUAGGGGUAAAAUCCGUAGAGAUGCGAAAGAACACCAGAGGCGAAGGCGCCUUCCUGGACAUGUAUUGACGCUGAGGCGCGAAAGCGUGGGGAGCAAACAGGAUUAGAUACCCGCGUAGUC